CCAAAUACUUAGAGAUGUAAUAAUACUCCCAUCAAACUCAGACUGAUUUAAUCCUGAUACAAGGGCAAAAACAACACCACAAAAAAACCAUCAUCAACAAAACAACACUAUACCUGCUAAACCUCAGCAUGGCAGCUCUGUCACUGCAGCCAUACACUGCAGAAAAAUUUACAUUUUUCUCAAAACAGCGCAGUCAAAGCGAAGCCUCAAAGGUCAGUAAACAGUUUUACUUUACUGUAUUUAGCAAGUUAGAUUAGCUGGGAAAUGAUGAGUAGUUGGCUGAUUUUCAAAUGUACAGUAAACAACAAAAUCUGUAAGUAAAAUCUGUGCAAACUUACUUCAGUGUCAAAUGUUUUAAAAUGUUCCUGAACCAAAACAAAGGAGUACUGCCAUUUUAUGAACAAGCACGAUCAUUUAGAAUGACUAAACUGAUAAACAGACACCAAAAUGGAAAGUCGAGGCAGCAACAAUGUGAUUUUAAAAAAAGGGAAAGCUAAAAAAGUAAAAAGCCUAAAAGAUGACUCCAAGUCACAUGAACACUUGGCACGAUGAUCUCCAGCAUACUGCCAAAAUGACAGAUUUUAAAAAGAAGUAAAGCUUCUGAGCUGAACAGGAAUAUGUUCAGAAACUUGGGCAUAUUUUAAAGAGAAACACAGAGCCACACCUCCGAUCACGCCAGGAGGAACUUAAAAAGGAAGAAAGAAUCUAACAAUUAGUCUUUAAAUCUAAAUUAAGACUAAAUUACCUGCUUUACAAACUAGAAAUGAGUUAUGCAAUUACUGCAAGGUGACACAGUUAUGAAUUUCUGUAAGUGGUAUUUCUAAGGAAAGUACUGUUAUCUUAGUGCAUCUCAGAUUACAAGGCACUUUAUUGCUGAUUAAAUUAAAAGUGUUAAAAAUGUUGAUUUUUUUUUUUUAAAGGUAGAAUACUUUCAUAUAUAACCACUAUAUUAAUGUGCAUGGUAUCUUUUUAAGUUUUCAUUUUCCUUUAGUUUUUAUACAGUAACAAUUUUAUGUUGUAUCACUCUUGCUUCUGUUUUCCAACCUCUCUGCGAUCGCUAUCAAGACACACCCACCAGGCAGCGAGGCAUGGCCCAGAUAAACACAACACGGGUCCGUACAGAUAUGCAGAGCAGCAGUCAGCUGAUAGCUACAGAUGCUGCUACUCCACGGCGGGGUAUUAAAUUGCAGGCCGUUGUAAUCUCUACCAUAUCAUGACAUGUUCACUAAGGCACGGAACAGGAGAUCACAGCUCUUUAAUGUAAUUAGUCUGGGAUUUGUGUUUCAUUACAAACAUCAUUAAAAUCUGAUCUAUUCUUCAUCAGGAAAAAAGGGAGAAAAGAGGUGUGUGAGAACUCCGGGCUUACUAAUCUCCCUGCAAUUGAUUCUGCUUUGAUGAUCCGAGCAGCUCGACGGUUGAUGAAGUCAUCACGGAAUUCACACCGACCACUGGGAAAGAUCUCAUUUGCAUGCCGAUCUCUGCCUGCCAACACCGGAGGACCCGCCGCCUACGGUUCCACACACAAGCGCGCUCACGUAUCCAAGUGCCACACUGCAGCAGACUGCUGAAUGCGAGGAGAGCGAGAAAAGGCAAAGGAAAAAUCAAGAACUAUUAGUCAGAAGAAAUGGUUAAAAAAAAAAAAAGAAAAAGGAAAAAAAACAGAAAUUGUUACCUCGCUGACGAAGAUAAAACUCCAUGAGUGCAAAGUAGGGGGCAAGAAACCCAAAAAACACAGCAACAGACCUGUGUUUUAGUUUCAAAAUAGGGGUGAUCUUCUACAUGAUCCCACCCAGGAAGGCAGAAGGUGAGGUGGACCUAGAGAGGCCGAGUGGGGUGUGGGGGUUGCUAAGUCAGCUAAGCUCUCUGCUCUGCUGUGGAGCUGCACCUCCUGAGGCUGGUUGGCAGCAGUUUGGGUGUUCUAAAGCUGAAAGAACUAAAAGCCCUCACAAGGCAGGAUAUGGUACAUGGAGGCAGGAUUUUUCUUUUACAGGAGGAGGGCGAGAGGUGGGGGAAGAAGCUUGCAAGGGGGGCAACCAGUGAAAAUCAUUCCCAGAACUGUUUGGAGAGGCACAGAAAGCCAGGCCCAGAGUGCCUCUCCCCCUCCAGCAGCGCGCAGUCCUGGCAGAACAUUCAUUUAUUACACCAACAGGUUGUAUUGAUGCAGGAGUUUAUACCACCCUGCACAAACACCCAUGUGCACACGGCGCAUUUUCAGAUGUAAUUUCCUGAAACGCUUUAUUAGAACUCUACAAAUCUACAGAGAAAACAAGCCACUUCCUACAUUAGUGACAACUACACGUGUAAGGAUGUCGAUACAGAGCUGUAUGAGGCAUUUCAAACUCAACGCAGUCGUUAAGCGUAAGGCAACUGAGUACAGCUGGGUUUUAAUCAGGGCCGAGUCUGUCUUACAGUGUUAUCUGAACACUGCUGCUGAGUACUGAGACGUAAAGUGUUGUAUUGAUUACCAUUUUGCUAACUAUGUCAGCAAUAAAGCCAAUAAGAACUCAUUUCAGGUGAAAAGAAAAGGCUUACUUUCUGAAAAAACAAUGCAGCUCCAUUACAUGCUGCACAAUAACAAAAACAAGUGCAAAAAUUAAAUACCAUUGCUGUUUUGUCUGUACAGUCACACCAAGCUGGUUUAAUUUUAAUAACUAAGAAAGGUUUACACCUGAGAAAUUCAGAGGCCUGGAACAAAGUCAGCAAAAUUUCCUCUGUCCUGGUGACAGAGGAAAUUUCAAGUUGACAUACAUAAUUGUUGUAAAAGUUAAAAAAGGCACGGCAAAAAAACCCGUCAGUAACCACUACAACACACUCACAGCUAACACAUAAUAAAUUACAACUCUAUAAAGGUG